UACAGAGGUCUCAAGCGUUGUUCGGAUUCAUUGGGCGUAAAGGGUGCGUAGGCGGCGCGGUAAGUCGGGUGUGAAAUCUCGGAGCUUAACUCCGAAACUGCAUUCGAUACUGCCGUGCUUGAGGACUGGAGAGGAGACUGGAAUUUACGGUGUAGCGGUGAAAUGCGUAGAUAUCGUAAGGAAGACCAGUGGCGAAGGCGGGUCGCUGGACAGCUCCUGACGCUGAGGCACGAAGGUCAGGGGAGCAAACGGG
rnacentral:rRNA from 1 species